AUGACUGCUAAUACCGCAUAAGACCACAGCACCGCAUGGUGCGGGGGUAAAAACUCCGGUGGUAUGAGAUGGACCCGCGUCUGAUUAGCUGGUUGGUAAGGUAACGGCUUACCAAGGCGACGAUCAGUAGCCGACCUGAGAGGGUGACCGGCCACAUUGGGACUGAGACACGGCCCAAACUCCUACGGGAGGCAGCAGUGGGGAAUAUUGCACAAUGGGGGAAACCCUGAUGCAGCGACGCCGCGUGAGCGAAGAAGUAUUUCGGUAUGUAAAGCUCUAUCAGCAGGGAAGAAAAUGACGGUACCUGACUAAGAAGCACCGGCUAAAUACGUGCCAGCAGCCGCGGUAAUACGUAUGGUGCAAGCGUUAUCCGGAUUUACUGGGUGUAAAGGGAGCGUAGACGGAUGGGCAAGUCUGAUGUGAAAACCCGGGGCUCAACCCCGGGACUGCAUUGGAAACUGUUCAUCUAGAGUGCUGGAGAGGUAAGUGGAAUUCCUAGUGUAGCGGUGAAAUGCGUAGAUAUUAGGAGGAACACCAGUGGCGAAGGCGG
rnacentral:rRNA from 1 species